UUGAGGUAUGAAUGAAACUGAUCCUGGUCAGCGUGAGAAGCAGGACUUGCCUGGCUGAUGAGUCCUGCAAGGUGAUUAUUCCAAGCUCCCAAGGAGCUGUCCCUGCAGAUGCAGCCCACAGGGCAGGCUGCAGCCUCUGCUCUCUGCCCUGGGCAGCUGGUCCUAGCACAGCUAGAAUCCUGGUCAGCCUGCUGUUCUGUGUACAAUGGCCUCUCUCCUUGACCUUUGUGUGGAAGGAGCUGUCCUCCAUGCUUUAGGCCACUUGUGCCAUGUUAAGACCCUUUCUCCUUUUAAAACUCCAAAGAACCACUAGAAAAAUAAGACUAUCACCUUUCUUCUCGAGGUACCAUUUUUCCCUGACAUGGGUUAAAAAUUUAAAACAGGACAGCAGAAGACCUCCCCGCUCUUUCUCCCUCUCUCUCUCUCCCCCAGCUUCUCUGAGUGUUGUGUGCCUGUGUAUCUGUAUAUCUGUAUGUGUCAGUGUGUGUGCCAUGAACCCAGUCCCAGGGCACCCAACCCUCUGGAGACAAGGGAGAGUCUACAUUCUGAAGGGGACAGUCAGCUUCUAUGAAGGUCAAGGAUGUCCUCAUAUGACUCUUCCUGGGAAGUCUGGGCAGGCUAGGAGACGGUGGCAUUGUUCUGGGGACCUGUAUACCAUUGAGGGGUCUUUGUUAUCCUGGGGAGCUGUCUCAUUGGACAGAUCUCUGGAUCAGACUCUGAUCAGAGAGGCAGAUACUGUGUAACACAGAGAUACACUCGUGGGAUGCCUUGCAAGAGUCACCUGCUGUGUAGCAGGGUGGCUGCAUAUUAUAGAGGAUCCUGUUCUGGUGCUUGCUGCCAGUACCUGGAUAGGCAGGCCAGGUGGUUAGGGCAGAGAACUGCAUAUCAUGCGGAGAAUGCAGGGACCACUGGGAUACUUCAAGGAAAGUGGCCCCCUCAUGGCAGUCUCACUGCACUGACACCAGUUUUAAUGCUGGAGGAGCAUAGACCCUCAACAGGGAACCACACAGCACCCUCCUCAGGGCCCGAGAUGCUUUGGAGGACAUGGAUUAGAGUCACUGUGGGACCUGACUACUACCAUGGGACACAGUACAUGCAAAGACAGACCUCAAUGUUCUGCUCCCAGCCACCAAACAUGGGUGCAGCUGGCUGCUGUCUUCUUCCCACCCCAUGCCCCAGGGCCUCCACAACACCACACAGUGUGACUCCUGGCCCAAACGGCCCAGGUCAUGUAGGAGAGGGACUCUGAGUACAUACUUGCAUGGGUUGACAGAAUGUAAACCCAGCACAGUCACCCCUUACCCACCUGGUGUCCCUAUGUGGCUCAUUUAAAUAUACUUGCGUCCAAAUAAACCCAAGAGUACAUCGUAAGCACUAGCUUGCUUUAACUCCUCAUAACUCAGUACUUGGUUUGAAUAUAAAAGGUGCAUGGAUGGUAGUCUUCAUGAGUCCAUUUUGUCUUUCAAAAAAGAAAUAAAUUGCUGUCAAUGAACUCAUAAUUUUAAACUCUGUUUUCUAUUUAUUUGGCAUUUAGUAUUUUUUUCAGUUGGGAAUAGAUUUCAAAACAACUUUCACUUCUGCUUAGAGUUUUUUGGGGGAGCUUUUUCUCAUGGUGCAAUUCCAUGUAAGAGACUAUUUAAAAGUUAGUCUUUAGUCCAUAGGAAUAUUUUAUUAUCUGGACUUGGGCAGAUGAAGGAUGUAAACUUUCCAUGCCUUGUUAUAACACAUAAAAGUACAGGAAGGACAAUCUUUGAAUUCAUAAUGAUGGUCACUUCACUCUCCUGUUCCUGUUUUAAAUUAUUACUGUAUUUGCUUCAUUGUACAGGAAGGUGCAGUGAAGUCUCCUUUGUACUUUGCUUUUAACUGUGUUCCAUUAUUUGGAUGUCAACAGCUUCCCUAAAAAGCACCAAUCUGUUAUGUUCUAAUGUCACGAUCCCAAUCUGUGUUACACAUUUUUAACCCUGUUUUCAGUUUCUGUGUAUACAGCAUUAUUUUUUAAUAAAGAAUUACAGAGUAGAAAAAGACAAGGGUAAAAUCCCUGCCUUUCCCUGAUGUGAUGCACUGUCCGUGUGAAACUGAAAGCACGUGGACCCUUUUCCCAGAAGGGGAUGAGAAGGCCUUCUCCAUCAGUGAGUGGUGUGUAUUCUCCAUCCGGUGAGUCUUACUCCCUUGUCCAUAUUCUGUGUCCGAAACCUCAAGUGCAUUAGCUAUCUGUGGCUGUGUGACAAAUUAUCCCAAAGAUGAGAUAUUAAAACAGUAACCAGACAUCAUUUCUUUACUCCUCUGGACAGGAGUCUCAUGCAGCUGUGUUGGGUACUUGUGGUUCCAAGAACCCCCAUCCAGGCUGUGAUGAACAUUUCAGCUGGGACUUUAGUCACCUCCUGACAGGACUAAGGAGGAUUCACUUCCAAGCUCACACACUCAGCUGCUGGCUGGGUCAUCUGCUUCCUGCUACAUGAGCUCCUCCAUACCUUCUGGGGCUGCAUGUGACAGUGGCAGCUGCUUCUCUAGGGCCAAGACUGCAGAGCAGAGAUGAAGCAAUCGAGCAAGAAGGGACAAGCAAAAGAGAAGGUAUACCAGGGGCUCUGUCAACAGGACUUGGAUGUGGAGACACAUUAAGAGGCUGCUCCCUGCUCUGCUGCUCCUGCUAUUACACCGUGAAGGGGCUCUACAGGCCUCAGCUUCCCACUUUGCCCCACUUCUCCCAUUGCAACUUUCCAGAGCUCAGGAAAUGGCAUGUUUUGGGUUUUUGUUAGCCUUAUCAAAAGGAUGUCCCUGGGCUUCUGCCAAUGGGAGAGGAGGGGACAGAGCAUCCAGCUGCAAUAUUCUGCUGGAUUCCAAGGGGAGAGCAUAUCCUAGAGUCCCUGUCCUUGCCAGGGGCCCAGGAACCCCAUCCCUACAUUUAGCCCCUUCAGCUAAAUGUCCCCAUGUACAAUGUUAUGGCUUGUGUCCAAAUGUCCCCCACAAAGCCUCAUGCAGUCAGGGAGGAGGCUUCUAGAAUUUGUCACUGAUUGGUGGUUCAACACUGGGAUUAUGGGUGUGCAGGCUAUACCCAUCUUAGGGUGGGUAGUAUUCUCUUGUGCUCCUCCUCCUUUUGGCUCUUUUUGCUUUUGUUAUCUUUUGCCACCAUGAACUGUUGCCCUCUGUCAUGAGGCUGCCUUGGACCCAGUGGAUUAUGGACUGAAGCCUUCACAAACUAUGAGCAAAAUAUAUCUUUCUUUUCUUAA